GGACCCGCACAAGCGGUGGAGCAUGUGGUUUAAUUCGAUGCAACGCGAAGAACCUUACCUACCCUUGACAUCCUAAGAAGACGAAAGAGAUUUUGUUGUGCCUUCGGGAACUUGGAGACAGGUGCUGCAUGGCUGUCGUCAGCUCGUGUCGUGAGAUGUUGGGUUAAGUCCCGCAACGAGCGCAACCCACGUCUUUAGUUGCCAGCAUUUAGUUGGGCACUCUAGAGAGACUGCCGGUGAUAAACCGGAGGAAGGUGUGGAUGACGUCAAGUCAUCAUGCCCCUUACAUCCUGGGCUACACACGUGCUACAAUGGAUGUGACAAAAGUUGCCAGUUUGUGAAAACGAGCUAAUCUCUAAACACAUCCUCAGUUCAGAUUGUAGGCUGCAACUCGCCUACAUGAAGGUGGAAUCGCUAGUAAUCG
rnacentral:rRNA from 1 species